rnacentral:rRNA from 1 species
AUGCCUUUAGAUAUGUAUCAGGAGACGUAUCUGCCUGACGCUCUGACAAUGGUAGCUGCUGGGCAUGCCCACAAAUCAUGCAGUUUGAUGGGCACGAUUGGGGUGCUGACUGAUGCUCCUACAGAAGAUGAUUAUGAACAUCUUUCGGCCUCUACCUGUCAGAUCACAGAGGCUGGACUUGGAGGCCCAAUUAUUGAUCUUGCUGGGAAUUUUGUUGGGAUGAACAUUUGUUUCGAUAGUGAUACAGGAAAGUCUUUGUUUCUACCAUGGAUAUUGCUUCGUCAACGCUUGGAGCAAUAUGAGAUACUCGGUCCUUGGGCAAAACUUCAUGGCAGAAUGACAUCUUAUAGUGCAGGUUUCUCAACGAGAAAAACCAACAAUAGCAGACAGGGAUCUUAUGUACCUCCUCCAGGUGCUUCAAGAAUAAUACCUUCAGGAUUCAUGGAUACUUGGAACUGGAUAGAAUCCAUGGGCUAUCCCAAGCCAGAACCACUUAUGCUGGAAUUGAAUGGGCGCCUGGUUAGGACAUUCGACGAUGUUUUUGGUUGCUUACAUGCUUGGAGAGGUUAUAAAGGUUUCUAUAAUGCAUUUGGUAGUGGGAAGAAUGCCUGGCAGAGACUUGAUAAGAAGAUAGUUGAAACCAUAUCCCGGCGUGUUGUCUCACUUGUUUCAUUCAACGGAAACGGCAUGAGGUUUUUCGUUUGCACAGGCGUCCUUGUAAAGUGUCCUUUGACAAACGGGGGCACACGCACUGUCAUUGUGACUUCAGCCAGUUUGGUUAGAACCUGUGAGGCUACAGACACGAUUGAUGAGAAUAUGAGGGUCGGUUCUGUUAGACUAAUAUGUCACGUAUCGUGA